rnacentral:rRNA from 1 species
AACGAACGCUGGCGGCAUGCCUAACACAUGCAAGUCGAACGAGACCUUCGGGCCUAGUGGCGCACGGGUGCGUACCGCGUGGGAACUUGCACUUAGGUUCGGAAUCACUCCCCGUAAGGGGUGCUAAUACAGGUUAAUGUCAUAGGACCAAAGAUCUAUCGCCUUUGGAUGGGCCCGGGUUGGAUUAGCUGGUUGGUAGGGUAAAAGCCUAGCAAGGCGACGUUCCAUGGCUGGUGUGAGAGGAUGAUCAGGCACACUGGCACUGAGACACGGCCCAGUCCCGGACGGAGGGCUGCGGUGGGGAAUAUUGGGGAAGGGAGCAAAGUCUGAUACAGCAGCGCGGGGGGAGUGGGGAAUGCCUUAGGGAUGUAAAGCUCUUUUACCCGAGGUGAUAAUGACGGUACCGGGAGAAUAAGCACCGGCUAACUCCGUG